CUUGAAUGCUUAAAGAAGAUGGAUUUCCAGAUACUGUUGCCCUAUAUGUGGAUCUAGCUGAUCCAACAUUAGUAACAGUUCUACCAAAAGUGACAUUGUUUUUCUUUGAGAGAGCGGUUGAUAGAGCAAAAGAUGGGAGGUUAAGGUUGAAAACAGAUCCUCUAUUUGCUGAUGUACAAGUGUUGUUAUCUCCUGUAAUUGUUUGCAGCGUUGAUGUAUUAUAACCUUGUCCACACAAAAAAUUAACAUAAUCAUUCGGACCAGCAUCAUAAACUAGUCCAGGAUUUACUGCCUUCAAAGGAUUAAUUUGCCCCGCACCGUAAGCAAAUUCAGCAUCCGGAUUAAGUGCAGGAUUCAGAGGGGUAGCUGUAAAUGAUAAACCAACAAAUUUGGUCGUAAAAAUAUAUAUACUUGGCCAUUAAGAUAUACCAUAAAAUAAUUGAACUUAAUCUAGUUUUUCCCAACACAAAUGUACAUUAGGGUGGUAAUGCAUAAGGUUUUAGGUUAUCAUAUUUAAGGAAAUGAGUUACUCAUGAUCUCACAACAAAAAUAAAAGUUCUAUAUCUAUAUACGUGUAAAUGAAAUCAUAUGUGUGUAUUCAAAUUAAAAACCCAAACAAUAACCCAGGUGAGGAAAGAAAAGAAAGAAUUAGUUUUUUAAAUUAACCAUGAUGGGUUCUUGAAUUGAGAGAUAAGAAAAGGGCAUAAAAUGAGUUUAGCAUGCUUGGAUUGGAAUGAGACUAUUACCAGUUGUCAUUAAUGCGGAUUUAAGUACAGCAGGAGACCAGCUGGGAUGAAAAGAUUUGACGUAAACAGUUGUUGCAGUAACAUGAGGGCAUGCCAUUGAAGUUCCAGAUAAUAUAUUGAAAUACGAAACUCUACUAUCUCCAUUAACUCUAGAAAUAGGAGAAAGUGUAGACCAUGCAGCCAGAAUGUCAACUCCUGGAGCUGCUAUGUCAGGCUGUACCAUCAAGAGAUAACUUAUAUAUAAGCAAAUGAGCUUGAAUUGGUUGGAUUGAUUGUAUAUUGUACCAUGAAGUUUACCUUAAGAAUGUUUGGAGUGAUCGUAUUUGGACCUCUUGAUGAGAAAGGAGCAAUGUAAGGGGCUGCUGAGUCUAUUCCUUCGUAACUCUUGGAUAUGAUAGCUGUUGGAUUACUACAGAUCGAUGACAUGACAUAUAAAUCAUUUUAUUCAAGACUAAUUGAGCAAAAUUUUAUAGCACUUAUGUAUGAUAUUUAUGUGUUGAUGAAAAGUUUGUACCUUGUUGACUUUAAAUAAUUAUAUACGGAUUGCCCAUCACUUGAGCUAAUGUGAACUUCUGGCAAUGCAAAUACACCUGCAACAACUAAAGGCAAUGUACUGCGGAAUAUGACACCAGCAGCUCCAGAAGCAAAUCCCACACGUACAGAAGAAGCAUAGCCAUCACACAAAACAAUUUUCCCUCUCACCAAAGCUCCAUUCAAGGAAUUGUUAGUGCACAACCUAAGCAAUGCUAAGGUUAGUAUGGAGUUUUGAAUUGUAAUAGAAAGAUUAGAAACAAAUUACCAAAUAAUAUGUCUAAAUUGCUAAUUUCUUUAAUUAUUUAUAAAAUUCAAUUAUUUAAUCACCAAAGCUCCAUUUAAAAAACUAUCAAUGCACGUACUAAAGCAAUGCUAAUGUUAGAAUGGAGUUUUGAAUUGUAAUAGAAAGAUUAGAAACAAAUUACCAAAUAAUAAGGCUAAAUUACUUUGCUAAUUCCUUUAAUUAUUUAUAAAAUUUAAUUUCCUUCUCAAUAUAUUACAAAAAAAAUAAUUAAAUAAAAAUUAAUUUUAAAAAUAAAAUUAAUUAAUCAUUAUAUUAACUAAAUUAAAUAUUAUUUUAAAAUUUAAAAAAAAAUUAAUAUAUAAAAUAAUUUUUAUUAUUUAUAAAUAAUUUUUAAAUUGAUAUCUACUUAACUAUCAACUAAUUAGAUUCUAAUAUAGUAAUAAUAUAUCAGAAGAAUUAGUAAAGGUUUAUAAUUUUAUUAUAUUUAAAAAUCAAACUUGAAUUUUUUAAAAUACAAUUUAUUAUAGUGACCUUUUUCUAUAAUUUUUAAUUUAUAUAUAUAUUUUAAAUAAAUUAUAAUAUUAUUAUAGUGAUAAAUGUUUAAAAAAUCUACACUAUUUUGUAAAAUUAAAUUUUUAACCAUUAAUUCAAUAUUGCUUCUUUAACUGCGUCAACUUCAUUAGAUGGAAAAGAAACAUUGGAAUUUAUAGAAAAAUAAUGUUGGUACCGUGAUGUGGAACUAUUAAAUCCAGGAGCUGGUACAUCUCCAUCAUAAAUUAUAGGGUAACCAUUCUGUGGUGGACUAAAUGUGUUCCCUGAAAUUCCCUGGAUAUGUUGAGAGAAAUCUUUUGUUACUUUUUUAAUAUUUUAAAAAAUAAGUAAAAGAAUUUAAAGGGAUAAUUACCCGGAUGAUCUGGCCAUUGCCCAGUUUGAGAUCAGUUAAAAACUUUCUGUCUAUAGUGGUGGCAGCCACAGAAAUGUACCAGGGUGCAACAUCCGCCAUUGUGGAAGGAUUUGGACCCGAAUUGCCUGCAGAUUUAGAAGUUAAUAUGCCCCUCCUCAUUGCAUGGAAAGCUCCUAUUGCAUGUACAUCUUCAAAAUAGUUCAAGUGUUUGACGGUUGAUCCCACUGAAACAGAAAGAAUAUCAACACCAUCCGAGAUGGCUGCAUCAUAUGCUGCAAGAAUGUCAACACUUUGACAACCCCCUGUCCAACAAACUUUAUACACAGCAAUGCGUGCUGAUGGAACUCCUCCUCUUGCUGUUCCUAAGCCAAGCCCAAACAGAUUUGCAUUGGGAACAAGGUUUCCAGCAGCAAUGGAUGCACAGUGAGAUCCGUGACCAUUGUUAUCAGUUGGAGAUAUGAUGUCCCCUGGGAGGAACCCACCUCCAAUGCGAAAAUGUUUUGCUCCAAUUACUUUGCUACAAACAAAUCAUGAAGCAAGCAUUCAGAGAUAAGUAAUUUAAUGGUUACUUUUACCUUUUAAUAAUUAUUACUUUGAAAAUUUUAUUACUUAAGUUUAGGUGUAUAUGUUUGGAUCCAAGUUGAUUUACUACUGAGGUGGAUGUUGUUGACAUUUGACAUGAAAAAAUUUUAAAUGUGAGUUUAAAAAUUGAAACCAGACAUGUUGUUUAUGUAUAUAAGAAACAUUACUUAUUGCAAGUGAAGUUAUAGCAUGUUCCCUUCCAUUUCUGUGGUGGUGGACCAAAGCCUCCACCAGUAAAGCUAUUGGCAUUAGAAAUCCAAAUUCCACUAUCGAUUACUCCAACAAUUGUGUUACUUUCUUCAUUUGUUCUUGGGACAUUUUCAGGGAAGUUAAGGAAGUUCCAGGACCUUGAUGUUUCCACAUUGUGGACUCUAUCUGGAAUAACAGAUACCACACCAUCCAUUCCUGUCAAAAUAUUCCAAAUUUUCACAAAUCAUAAUCAAUCAUAUUAAUGUAGGAAUAUGACAGGAAUCAAAACCAAAAAUAUAUUUAUGAAUAAAGCAAAAAGCUGAUGAAAAUGUGGUCUGAGCUAAUAGACACAUAUGUAUAAUUGGAAUUUUUCAAGUGCUCUUUUUAUUAAUAUAUUUUAGUUCUUUUUUUUGGAAAAAAAAAUUACCUUUCAUUCUUUCUGAUUCUUCUUUGGUUAGUCUCGCCACAAAUCCAUUGAAACUCUUGUAGCGGUGCAACAAAGUAUCUGAUGCAAAUUUGCUGGAUGGAUGUACAUUUCAUAUGGAAUUUUAAUAGUUAGUUAAAAAAUUCCAUAUUCUUGAUUGAUAAUAGGUUUAAAAUAAAAGAAUUGUUCUCUUUUUAGAGCAAUUUAUUUCAUUGUUUUUCUUUUCACUCCUCCAAAAUAGCAUUUAAGUCAAACACGAUUCUUUGUAUUUGAAAAUGUUAGACAUACAAUGUUAAGUGAGUUGAGUAGAAACAAUUAAGGCUUAUAUAUGAACCUGCCGAGGACACUUUGAACCAUCCUGGUGUGAAAUGAUUCUGUUAUUUCCAUGCCCUUUGGAUAUUCUCCCAUGUAGACUAUGUAAGUCUGUAGUAUGAACAAGAUAAAUUAAAAAGAAAUUUAAACUAAGUGAAUUUCACAUUGAUGCUUAAACAUUGAAAAUAUUAUAUUCAACCUUGGGGUUAAUUUGUUCAUUUUGAAUAUAAUCCAAAUUCUUAUUAACUUAAAUGUAAUCCAAUAUUUUCCUUAAAAAAAUAUGCAUUAUUAGAUUUAUUUAAAAACAUCAUAAAAGGAUAAAAACCUAAGAGUAAUUUAUGAAAAGAUAUAACCUCUCACAGAUAGAAGGAAUGUGAAAAUUAGUUGAGGAAAAAAAUAAAUUACAAAGUGAAAUAUUAUACAAAAGAGAUACCUCAAGUAUACGUUUGCAAAAAGUAUAUUUUUGUAAUACAAACAAUUUCAAUUGCUACGUCAAACAAUAUUGAAUAUAUAUUAUUUACCUUUCGAUCAUCUUUAGAAAAUGAGGAAGUCAACAGCAGGAUGCAUGUAAGGAUUUGAAGAAGAUGCGACAAACCUAAAGACUUCAUCUUUCGGAACAGUAAUCUUGAUGAAUGUGUUUUAAAGCUCUUUCAACCUGUAAGUAAAUUUAAUUUAUUAUGUUAAGUAUAUAUUUAAAACUUAUUAUGUUAAAUAUAUAUUUGAAACUCACAACACAACACUAAAAUUUGAUAUUGGAAAUGGUAAAUAGAAGUAUAUAUACAUAAUAAAUUGAGAAUGAAAACAGUAACAAAGUAGAUUAGCAAUAAGAACAUCAUUUUAAUCUGCACAACAAAGUGGAUUGGGUAGCUUUACAAUGUACUUAAAAGGUUGGUUUUGUGUUUUAUUUAUUUAUUUGCAGAUUACUGUUAUUUUAUCAAUUCUGGUGGUUGAAGUUGAAUUGGAUAGAUUAAUGAAUGUGUGCAAUCUAUUAUUUUCUUUGAAAAAUUGUUCUUUAAAGAAUUUUAGUUAUCAAAUUUUAAACUAUUGUAAAUUUUGUCUGUCCAUAAUUUCAUGUAUGUUAAAUUUCAAAUGACAUUACCAUUUCACAAUGGUUUUAAAUUAUUACUAAAUGAGGUCUUCAAUGCACCGUGUAUGCUGGUCACAUAGGCAUACAGUCAACUAUGCCAUCAAAUUUACUUCCUAGUAUAUAUUGUGUGUUGUUUAAUUCUGUUCAAUUUUGUUAAUCACAUGCAGACAAAUAAACAUUAAUAGUGUCAACUAAUAAUAAUGAUGUAGUUGAUUGAGAAAUAUGAUAUUAGUAGUCUUUGUAAAAUGGUUGAAAUAUUUAAUACUAUAAAUUUAUUCGAUUUGUUUAUUAUCGAUAAAAAAUAUAUUAUUAAAUGUAUAUGUUUAAAAUUAAAUUUAAUACAUUGACAAUUUUUAACGGAAAGAUAUUAAGUUUUAUUUUUUUCUUGCUUUUGUAAUUAUCUUCAACUUACUCCCCAACACCAAAGUGACAACCAUUUACCUUUUGAAAUUCAUCUAUUUCCAAAUCAUUGCAUUGUGAAAGUUAUAUAGUGAAAGUUAUAGGAUGAAUUCAAGUUAAUUAUUAUUUUCAAAGAAAAGUGUGCAUUGGCAAUGUUAAGGUGAUAACUAUACAAAAGAGUCCUUUGUUGUUUUUAUGUGACUGAGAGAAGAAGUUGUGUAGGAAGCCAAAAUAAGAGAGUUCCUCAUUGCUUCAUUUUCUGUAUAAGAUUAAUGUUUUAUAAAAAAAAAAAUCAAUAAAUGAAUAGGAAUACACAAAUAAUGGAGUAUCAGUUUAUAUUAAGAGGGAACCACUCGCAAUAAAGUAAUAAAAUAAUUAAAAAUAAACCAAUAAAAGUAAUUAGGGAUGAUAUUGAUGCUUAAUAUUUACUCAAAUUAAGAGAAAGUUAUUAUAUAUAAUUACAAAUUUAUAACAAGAUAAUUAUGCCGAAAAGUUAAAUAACUUUGUAUUAAUUAAUUUAAAUACUGAAUAAAUAAUAAAUAUAUUCUACUGUUUUAGGUCACUUUUUCAAGUCAAAACACUGACUGAACCUAAUUGCAUGGUCUGAAAAAAAAAAAUACAAUUUGAUAAAGUUUGGUUGACUGGUUUAUAAUUCAGUGGGUUUUAAAUUUUGAAAUUGAGGUAUAAAUGAAACAAUAGAAAUAGAGCAUUGUUAUAUAUAUAAGCAGAGAACAGAAGCAGUAGAAAAAUAUUAGGAGAAAGAGUUAUAAAUGAAUAAUGGAAACAGGAAGAGAUGAGAGACAUACUCAACUUAGUAGAACAUAUCUUGAGUAAAGGAUGUCAAUACACACACUCUAUCUUACCUUUAUAGCCACUUGAUUGGACGGUUUCAUGUUCCACGUUUUGCACAUUUAAUUUUCAAGGACAAAAAUUAAUUUGAUUGAAUUUUUAAAAGAAAAACUAUACACUCCAAUAGAAAUUGGAGUUUCAUAAUAUAACUAUACUUCUUUAUAUUAAGGAUUUUUUUUUUUAAAUAUUCAUUUAGAAGAUAAUAUUUUUAACUGUGUAAUGUAUUGAAUAUUUUUUUCUAAAAUAUGUUUAAAAAAAAUAAAGAAAUACUGGAUCUGGAAUUAUACUUUCUAUUGAAGUUGGAAUAAUUUAUGUCAACAUUUGAUGUAAUGUUUUUAACACAUGAAACAAGAAUUACUAUGUACAACUCAAUUCUUAAUCUGAAAUAGCACUUAAUUAAAACAUUGAGAACCCAAUUUAAGGUUUUUUAAGAAUUUACUUAUGAAAUAUUUUAGUAAUAAAAUUUGGUUGAAUAUUUUAAUAUUUUAAAUACCUCCUUUAAUAUUUGCAAUACAUGAAAGGUAAUUUUGUUUUUUUAUAAAGAUUGACUAUCGAACUCCCUUUUAUUUAUAUUUUUUUAUUAUUAAUAAAAAAAAUAUAAAAGUAGUUUUCACACACUUGUAAGAGGACAUUAGGGAUAAGUGUUUGAAGUCCGCAAAGUAUUGGUUGAGAAGAAAUUAAAUAAAGAUAAAUAAUUUAAAUUAAUUUCUAUAGUUAGAAAAGAUAAAAGUGAAAAUAAUUUUUAAAUUUUUUGAAAUGAUGUACAGUUCUUUCUUAUUUUUAAUUUUCUUCUUUAGCAAAGAAGUAUAAAAAAAUUAUGUUAUUCUCGUCAUUAUAAAAACAACAUCAAAUUAACUUAUGAAUAAACAUCAAAUUUAAUUAAUCAAAUUUGUUUAUAAAUAUUAGUUGAAUUACUAUUAAAUUCUAAUGUGAUACAAAAGAUUAAUUUUUUUAAAAAAAAACUUUAAAAUAACAAUAUUGAAUAAAUAUUUACAUCAGUGUAAGAUCAGCAUCCGUUUAACAAUCCCACAUCAUGGAGUCAUAAGCCUUCUCAUAAUUUACCUUAAAAAAGACACAAUUUUUCUUCUUCUUUUUCAUCUCAUCUAGAACUUCGUUGGACACAAGAAUGCUAUCCAUUAGCACCCUUCCUUCAAGGAAAGUAGGUUGGCUAAAAUCGAUGACUUUACUAAUCACUUUUUUCAGUCUCAGAGACAAAAUCUUUGAUACAAUUUUGUUCACACACCCUACCAAUGAAAUGAGUUUGAAAUCACUAAGUUGUUGCGAAUUAUCUGACUUAAUAAUCAAACAUAUAAAUGAAGUGUUUUACCCCUUAGGCCAUUUACAUCUGACUGCAAAAUCAUUCAUAGCCGAUAGAAUAUCCUCCUUUAGACAGUCGCAACAAAAGUUAAUGAAACUGAAGUUAAAAGCAUCUGAACCAAGGCUCUUCAAACUAUCACAAUCCAAACUGUAGUCUUAACUUCCUCUUUAGAGAAAGCUCUUACCAACAACGCAUUGUCAUCACUAGAGAUAGAAUUAAAACAGGCAUUGUCCAACCUAACCUGAGGCCUAGAAACCCCAUAGAACUUGGCUUUGAAAAAAUCUCUGACCUUUGCCUUAACCACCUCUUUAUCUUCGCACCACUGAUUGUUCUCAAGAAUGUCAUUGAUCCCGUUCCUCGCUCUCCUCCACUUCACGAUCGAAUGAAAGAAUUUUGUGUUUAAAUCGCCUUGUUUCAGCCAUUUAAGACAACCUCUUUAUUGCAAAACAACUUCUUGUUUGAAAAAUUUUCCACUUUGUUUUGCUAACAAGAGUCUCCUUACCUCCCUCCCAGGCUCAUCUAGAUCACUUUCAUAAUCUCUUGCAUUCAGCUCUUGAAUUUUCUUUUGCAGAUCUUUCCCUACUUGGUUAACAUUCUCGAAAAUAUCUCUAUUCCAGAUUUUCAAAUCUGAUUUCAAAUUUUUCAACUUUUCUUUUAAAACGAACAACCCUUCACCUUGCACCUCACAGCUAUGUCAUUUGAAAAUAAUUUCUUCUCCACAUCGUAAUAAUCCCUCCUAUAUUAGUAACAACACCAUUUUUAAUAAAAGUUAAUAGUUACAUUACAUCUAUAAUCUAGUAUCGAGUUUACAUUAAACAUAUAAGAAUCUAUCCAUACAUUAAAAAAGUCUAUUAAAAUAAUAUAAAUAACUUAAUUUUUCUUAGAUAAAUAUUAUCCUUUUAUUAUACAUUUAUUCAUUUAACUUUUAAGUAUGAAAGUGUCUUAUGUACUACACGCUUGGAAAUAAAUUUUGAAUGAAUAAAGAAUAUAAAAAUUUGCAGAUAAAUUGCAAACCAAUAUUCUUUAUUUCAUUAUAAAUUAUAUCGUUUUAAACUUUAUCCUUUUAAAAUAUUAUUUUUUAAUAAAAAAUACAAUCAAAAUUUAUUAAAAGUCCUUAAAAUCUUUAGAUUAAACUUAGUUAUUUAUAAAUUAUUUUUAAUAAAAAUUCAAAGGUAAAAAUCUCACAAUAACAUUUAUAAACAUUUUUAAAUUUUUAGGUCAAUUCAUACACAAUAAUUUAUAAGUAAUAUGUAUGUAAUUACCUACGAAUCUCGUCUAUAUGUAAUUACAUGUGAAUUAUAUGUAAUUACAUGUGAAUGUGGUUGAUAGUUUAUUAUGUAUGGAUGAAAUUUAUAGAUAAAUUAUGUACAAAUGAGAUUUAUAUAUAAAUAUGUGGAUGAGAUUUGUAGGUAAUUAUUGACCUGACUUCUUACCUUCUAACCUCAUCCAUCUAAAUAAACAAAAACUCUCGUCUUCACACCAAAUCUAAUAUUCCAACUUAUAAGGAAGAACUAAGUGAUAGAACUUUAUAGAACUAAGUGGUAGAACUUUUGCUUCAAAUAUAUCCCCAACAUACUAUUGCACUCUAUCAUACCACAUUAUUUGGAUAAAUGUAUUAUAGAAAAACCUUCUUACAUAUUGGAAAUCCCACAUCGACUAGAGAUAAGGACAUUUCAUAAUAUAUAAAUGGGUGCAAACCUCACCCCUAUGAGCCGGUUUUAUGGGGUUGAGUUAGGCUUAAAGUCCAAUUCUUAACAUGGUAUCAGAGCCAUUUCGAGCCUAUCCUAGCGAGUAUUUGUUGGGUUUAUCAGUCGACCCGCUAUCGGGCCGUUACUGGACCACCCAUAACAUAUAUCUCCACGCAUGAGUUGGUAGCCUCGACGUGAGGGGGUAUGAGCCGGUUUUAUGGGGUUGAGUUAGGCUUAAAGUCCAAUUCUUAACAUUACAUACUCUAAUUCAUUACAUUUAAGAUACCUAUUAACCAUGCUAGUCCUACAUAACACAUUCUUAUUUUCUAUUAUAUAAAAAAAAAACCUCCCUAAUAACUUCAAAUAUGAUUUCCAAUAAUGUACCUUUAUACAAACAAUUUAUAUAGAUCACCACAUUCAAGAAAAGAAAAUAAAAAUAAAUAAAGAAAAAGAGAAAACACAGGGAAACCUCUAAAAAGAUACCAUAUCAACCAAGUAUAACUCAUUAAAUAGAAACCAAUUUUAAUGAUAAAAAUUAUUAAUUUUUAUAUUGACUAAAUUAUAUACUAUUUUUAAAAAUAAAAAAUAUGUUGGAUUGUUGGAUUUAUGAAAUAAUGUAGGGUAUGAAAAAUAUAAAAUUAAUGUGUAUAAUGGUUGGAAAAUAUAAAAGAUGUGAUAUUCAAAAUUGGUAGUUGAGGUGAUUUUAAAUAUAACAUGUGUUAAAUUCGAUAAAGCUGGAUACUCCAUCGUUUAUGAAGAAGGCCAGAGUAUAGGACACACCACUCAUGUUGAAACCGACGUAUACAUGCAUAAUGUUUAUGAAAAAAACAAAUCCAUCUUUUACAGAAUACAGCAUGAAUUUCUAUAAAAUGAAUUGAUGUAAAUAUUAAAAAUAGAUUUUACACAAUAUAUCUAAAUAAAAUUUUGUUUUGAUAAUAAUAAAUUAUAGCAAUGAUCAAUUAUGUAAUUAAUUAAGAUAAUUUUCAAAAUUCUUUGUAAGAAAAAAGACAGUAAAAUAAAUUACUAAAUAAAAACAAAUUUUAUAUACCAAACUAAUUAAUUACUAUUUAAUUAAAUUAAAGAUUAUUUUAUAAAUUAAGAAAAUUAUUAAUAUUUAAAAUAAUUUCUAUUAUUAAUAAAAAAUUAUGAAAUAAUUUUUAAAUUAAUAUUUAAUGAUUAACUACCAAAAUUUUAACUACUUACUAUUUUAUAUUCUAAAUUAAUCUCUAUUAAUCUUUUAGACACUAAUUUAAAAUUAGUAGUUAAGAUCUAAAUAUCUAAUUUAGAUAUUAAUUUAUAAAUUAUUUUCAAAUUUUUAUUAAUAAUAGAAAUUAUUUUAGAUAUCAAUAAUUUUUUUAAUAUCUAAAUUAGUAUAUAUUUUAACCAAUAUAGUUAAUAUAAUGAUUAAUUAUUUUUUAUCUCUAAAUUUAAUUAUGAUUUAAUAAUUUUUUUUCACGAAAUUCAGGAAAAGCAAGUGAAACUCUGUUUUAUAAUAUAUAAUAUACCCAUUUUGAAAAUAAAGAAAAAGUAAAAGCACGUUGUCAUAAAUUAAAAAUACAAUACAUUUCUAAUUUUUUGUUGGCAUAUUUUUAUGGUGAUAAAUACAAUUUUCUUUUACACGAUCAAAUUUUUUUUUUGUUUCAAUCUCCACCCCAUCUGUUCCUUCUGAUAAGAGGAUAAGAUACUUGGAUUGUGAUAUCAUAUUUAAGCACCAGCAUCACAUGUUUUUUUGUCUUCCCCGCCCCCACUGUUUUGUGUGGUUUGAUUUGUCAGUGCUUCACAUGUUUGUUGUUCUGUUAUUCACAUAUUUUAACUUUUACUUCAUCUCUUUAAUUUAUCUUUGGACUGGAAGAAGUAUUUAAGAGAAUAGAUACAUGAAGAACAAUGUAGAAAAACAAAUAAGGAUAAAAAAUAUUUAUUCAAGCGAUUAAAUGGUUUCUUUAAUUUUUCUUUACCAAUAAGAAGAUUGGUAAACAGUAUAACCCCACGUAUAUACUCGCUUGUGUCUAUGAGCAAACCAGUGAAUCUAAAUCGAGAAUAUUUAUGUGUUUUCAUCUUUGUAAAUAGUAAAUAGUUUGAACCAAACUUAACAUUAGUUAAAAGGGUUUUUUUAUGCUUUAAAAUUUCUGGUUUAUUAUUAUUUUUUAAACUUAAACCAUGGUUCAUACUUGUGAGGAUUGAAGGAAGAGAUAUAGUGGAAGAUAUGAUUAAGAAUGGAGGAAGUGGAAUAGAUGAUAAAUGUUGGCAAUGGUGAGUGUCUGAAGAGGAAGUUGGUGAGACCUGUUGGAAAAAACGGGUAAUUUUCCCACUAAAACAGAACUCUAAUAGAGCUACCCGAUAAAUAAUAUUGAAUAAAUAAAGCGGAAUAAUAAAAUAGAUAAAGAGGAAAAACACACUAGAAAAUUGUUAACGGAGUUCGGCCAAUUUAGCCUAAUCUCCGAGCACAGCUUAAACAACCCACUUUUAUUAUUAUGGGAGAAGAUAUUACAAAUUGGUAUAUCUAACAGUGAAGGAGAAGAGUUUAAUUUAUAACCCUCAAACCUCCUUCCCAAACAAUGAACCCACCGAUGUGGGACUUGGGAUUAAGCCAAAAUCAACAAAUCUCCACCUUGGCUUAAUUUCAAGUCCCACCUAAAACAAAUCUUCUCAAAACAUAACAAAAACAAAGCUUCAAAUUUGCGCCUCCGGGCGCCAACUUCAAAUGUGCAAGAUAUUAACCAAGUCUAAACAGUAUUCAAACUUGGUCCUUGUAACCACCUUGGUGAGCAUAUAUGCAGGAUUCUCCGAGUGUGAAUCUUCUGGAAAACAAUCUCCUCUUCUUCGAAAAUCUCACGCACAAAGUGAUAACGAACAUCAAUGUGCUUCGUCCGUGCAUGAAAGAUUUGAUUCUUUGCUAAAUGAAUAGCACUCUGACGGUUAGAAUAUAACUCAAGUUGUUUCUGACCAACUCCCAAGUCUUUAAGCAACCCAUGAAGCCAAAUUGCUUCCUUCACAGCCUCUGUAAUCGCCAUAUACUCUACCUCUGUCGUAGACAAAGCCACCGUAGACUGCAAGGUAGACUUCCAACUAAUUGGCGCUUUUGCUAAAGUGAACAAAUAGCCAGUUGUAGACCGUCGCUUAUCCAAAUCACCUGCAUAAUCAGAAUCACAAUAUCCAACUAUGCAUUGACCAAGUGAUUCAUCUUGCUCAAAUGUCAAUCCAACAUCUAAGGUAUUUUGGAGGUACCGUAGNNNNNNNNNNNNNNNNNNNNNNNNNNNNNNNNNNNNNNNNNNNNNNNNNNNNNNNNNNNNNNNNNNNNNNNNNNNNNNNNNNNNNNNNNNNNNNNNNNNNNNNNNNNNNNNNNNNCCAACUGCAUUUGCAUAUGGGACUUUCGCCAUGUAUUCUCGUUCUUCAUCAGUCGUCAGAGAUAAACGGCUACUCAAUUUCAAAUGAGGAGUAAGUGGGGUACUUACAGGUUUUGUAUCUUCGUGUAUACCAAAACGUUGUAGUACCUUCUGCAAAUACUACUUUUGUGACAGCCAAAGUUUUCCCCUCUCCCUUAUCUCCAUGCCGAGAAUCUUUUUGGCUUCCCCCAAAUCCUUCAUCUCGAACUCUUUACUCAACUGAGCCUUUAACUUCUCAAUCUCAACUUGGCUCUUUGUUGCAAUCAACAUAUCAUUAACAUAUAAGAGUAAGUAAAUGUAGGAACCAUCUUCAAGUCUGCGCAAAUACACACAGUGAUCAUAUUUGCUUCUCUUGUACUUCUGAUCCUUCAUGAACUUAUCAAAUCGUUUGUACCACUGUCUUGGAGAUUGUUUCAGUCCGUACAACGAUUUGCUAAGUUUACAAACCCAAUCUUCUUUACCAUCAACCUUGUAUCCUUCUGGUUGAGUCAUAUAGAUUUCCUCCUUCAAAUCACCGUGUAGGAACGCGGUCUUUACAUCAAGUUGACCAAGCUCCAAAUUCAACUGUGUUACCAAGGCCAACAAAAUUCGAAUGGAUGAAUGUUUAACAACUGGAGAAAAUACCUCAUUAUAAUCAAUUCCCUCCCUCUAAGCAAAGCCUUUAGCAACCAACCUUGCCUUGUAGCGAACAUCUUCUUUAUUAGGAAAUCCUUCUUUCUUUGCAAAUACCCAUUUGCACCCAAUUGCCUUCUUACCUUUUGGUAAUUGUGCCAACUUCCACGUCUUGUUCUUCUUCAAAGACUGCAUCUCCUCUCCCAUCGCACCUGCCCAAUUACCACUCUCUGAACUCAGAAUNNNNNNNNNNNNNNNNNNNNNNNNNNNNNNNNNNNNNNNNNNNNNNNNNNNNNNNNNNNNNNNNNNNNNNNNNNNNNNNNNNNNNNNNNNNNNNNNNNNNNNNNNNNNNNNNNNNNNNNNNNNNNNNNNNNNNNNNNNNNNNNNNNNNNNNNNNNNNNNNNNNNNNNNNNNNNNNNNNNNNNAGUCACUUGUGGUAUUUCGUGUUGGGAUCACCACUGUCGGCUCAAACUCCACCUGCUUCUGGGCACACUCCACCUGUUGUGGAGUACUAUCAGCUCCUUCUGGAUUUACCUUCUUUAACAUGGCAGAUUCAUCAAAGGUAACAUCCCUGCUGAUAAUCGUCUUCUUUGCCUCUAGACACCAUAAACGGUAUCCUUUCACUCCAGGACUAAAGCCCAUGAAAAGAGCCUUCUUUGCCCGUGGAUCCAACUUUGAUUCAAUCACAUGAUAAUAUGCAAUAGAACCAAAAACAUGCAAAGAAUCAUAAUCAGUUGCAGGUUUUCCAGACCAUACCUCUAACGGGGUUUUGCCAUCUAUAGCAGAUGAUGGCAAACGAUUGACGAGAUGUUAAGCGUAUGUCACAGCCUCAGCCCAAAACUCUCUGCCUAACUCAGCAUUAGACAACAUACAACAAACUUUCUCCACAAGUGUCUUGUUCAUACGCUCCAAAACCCCAUUCUGCUGUGGUGUUUUUCUAACAGUGAAGUGCCGAACUAUGCCACAAUCUUGGCAUACCUUCAGGAACAGAUCACUCUUGUAUUCUCCUUCAUUGUCUGUUCGGAGAACCUUAAUCUUCCUUCCUGUCUGGUUUUCAACUUGAGCUUUCCACUUAAGGAAAAUUUCAAGCACAUCAUUUUUGUUCUUCAUAGUAAACACCCAAACUCUCCUGGAAAAAUCAUCAACAAAAGUGACAAAAUAAUGCCUACCUCCAAUUGACGGAGUCUUGGCAGGUCCCCACACAUCUGAAUGCACAUAAUCCAAAAUACCCUUGGUAUUGNNNNNNNNNNNNNNNNNNNNNNNNNNNNNNNNNNNNNNNNNNNNNNNNNNNNNNNNNNNNNNNNNNNNNNNNNNNNNNNNNNNNNNNNNNNNNNNNNNNNGAACACAAUGCUCACAAAAUUCAAGUUUGCAAGCCUUCGUACCUUUCAACAGUCCUUGCUUGGUAAGAAUUUGCAAGGAUUUCUCUCCAGCAUGUCCCAACCUCAUAUGCCACAACUUUGUUGCCUCGACAUCCUUCUUAGUGCUAGAAGUUGCUGUCGCUACUGUCCACAUCACUUUUGCAUUCUGCAACAUUUGCAUCUUGCGGAGCCUUCCCUUUCUUCUGCAGUUUUGGACAGUCUUUCUUCCAGUGUCCUUUCUCAUGACAGAAAACACACUCAUCUUUGGCAACGGCUCGACCUUUAGACUUAGACCAGACCUCCCUCUUCUCCCCUUUGUUUGGCUUUGUUGACGACCUCUUGCCACCAAUGCUUCUUCUUCUUGAUUUUCCAUUACAAACUCAAAAUAUAAUAUUCAAUAUUACAAAUAAUUUCAAACAACCCAAGGGCGAACCUUCGGCUCUUGAUACCACUGUUGGGAAAUACGGGUAAUUUCCCCACUAAAACAGAACCCUAACAGAGCUACCCGACAAAUAAUAUUGAAUAAAUAAAGCGGAAUAAUAAAAGAGAUAAAGAGGAAAAACACACCAGAAAAUUGUUAACGAAGUUCGGCCAAUUUAGCCUAAUCUCCGAGUACAGCUCAAACAACCCACUUUUAUUAUUAUGGGAGAAGAUAUUACAAAUUGAGAUAUCUAACAGUGAAGGAGGAGAGUUUAAUUUAUAACCCUCAAACCUCCUCCCAAACAAUGAACCCACCGAUGUGGGACUUGGGAUUAAGCCAAAAUCAACAAGACCAACCUUUCAAGUGUCUACUAGCCUUCUAGGCUUGUAAACAAGAAGAGACUUGAGAGAGAAUGAAUUUUGUGUUCAGAAUUUUCAUUCACAAUUAUAUCAAAUAUGAUUACACAAUGUAUUUAUAAUCAAACAAGAUAGCUUGUGUCGCAAGCUACAUACAACUACACAUACAUCUACAAAUACUUGUUCUAUUACAAAUGUCUUCUACUUUAUUUAUUGUAUAUGGUGGCUUCCCCCCUCCUUAAAAAGGAUUUGUCCUCAGAUCCUACUGAGCAAGGUCACCAGAACGGAAACAACUUGUGCUAUAGUCCUCCAUGCUCAUGAAUCCUCCUGAAAAGAAAACCACAAAGAAUAAGACUACAACACCAAAAAAAUAAAAUGUACAUAUAAAAGAUACAAAUGGGAAAACGAAGAAAGGAAAAAUAUCAACAAAAGAUAAGAAGAAAAAAAAGUACCUGAAGAGGUAGAUGAACGAAGUACACAUAAAGGUUUACAUGGUAAAGAAGAAGCAGAAGACGGAGAUGUUACCUGCUGAGACAUAUAUUCUUGUUGAAUUUUCUCUUUAAGGGUACUGGCAUUUGCACGUAUCUCAGAAGGAGAAAGAGGAAACAAUAUAUAUUUGUGAUUUGGGAAAAAGUGAUCUUAUUUGAAAAUCCAUCAUGAAGAGUAUUGUUAUCAAAUUGCCAAGGUCGGCCAAAAAUAAUGUGACCAAUGUCCAUAGGAAUAACAUCACAUAAAAUUUGAUCGAUAUAGUUACCAAUUUGAAUAGGAACCAACACCCUAGUGUUGACAAUGAUUCCAUUAUGAGGAUUAAUCCAAUCCAGACGGUAUGGAAAAGGAUGAGGUUGAGUAGAUAAAGAUAGCGUAUGAACUAACCGUGUACUAAAACAAUUACAACAAGAACCACUGCUAACAAUUACAGUAAAAACAUUUCCAAGAACUAAGCAACGCAUAUGAAACAAAUUCUCACGUUGAUAAUUACUAAGAUCAACAGGGUGAGUAUGAAGAAGACGUUGUAUAAUGCAAAUCUGGAAUCAUAAGAAUAAGGUUGUUUUUUAGAACAAGCGGGUAGAUGUAGUGGAGGUUUUCACUGUGGUACAAAGAAAGACUUGGUCUUGGAUCACGGUAAAAGAAAAGUUGGCUACUUUCUCUUACUCAGAUUGGUGCUUGGAACCCCAUUGUUGUAUGAGGUAUUUGAAAGAUUGAUUUGCUGCUCCUAUCUAAUGUUUAUACCCAGGUUUGGAAGUUGUGGUAUGUUUUGUGCAGGUUUCCUUGGCAUGGAUGGAUUGAUGUGAGUGCCUUAGGUUGCGAUUGGAAGUUGCUUGUGUUUUGUGCAGGAUUUUCUGGUUAUGCUCUCUUUUGCAGGUUCGAUUGUUGUAUUUGGCAUUGAGUUUGAUGUAGGUCAGAAUGCUAGUAAAGAUCUUCUUUAGCUGUUGGAUUUUGUGCCUGUUUUGAGGGCGUGUUUCAAUAUAGGGUUGAGGGUUGGGGGAUCUCUGUAUCUGGUAUUUUAUACGUGUUUUUGGGUAUUGUCAUGUAAGGUCUGGUGGAUACUUGCUGGUGCAAGGAAACUUGUUUUUGGUUUUUUUAUAAGGGUUGGGGUACCCUUGAAGUACCUCAUUUUAUUUUAUUUAUUCUUUGCUGAUAAAAAAAACAAUGCAAAGCUCACCCGUAUAAGGAUGAAAUUGUUCAUCUGAAGUGGGAUUAUCCUCAGAAUCAGAAGAAAUUGGAGAAUGUGUCUGUGGUUUAUUAUCUAGUUGAUGAACAAGCAGAGUUCUUUUUUGUGGGCAGUCAGAAGAAUAAUGUCCCUUCUCAAGACAAGUAAAACACUGAAUAUUUUUAGACUUACCAUAUGAUAAGUGUCUAAUUUCAGUAAUAUUUCAUAUUAAAAUAUAGGCACUUAUGAGGAUUUAUUGCUAAUUUACAUAUAAAAUAAUCUAUAAUUUAUGAAUUUAUACUUUUUUACAUUUUGUAUGAUCUUUAUUUGAAUAAGAGCAUUUUAUUCUCAAAUUUGGUGUUAAUUGCAAAUUUCUAGGGAGGAUUGAAGAUUUGGAGUAAAGGAGAAUAAUUUGAGCUAAAAAGAGAAAGCUAGAAGGUCCCAGAAUGGAAAAAUAUGCAUAGAAAGAUUGGGCAUUUUUUAUGUUUUAUCACUUAGCCCAUUAGCGCGACACAUGAAGCAACCUAACCCUAGAAAAUUAGGAUAAAUAGGGGGCUAGAGGUUCAACCGACCCUAGUGUGCCAGAUUGUGAGGAAAACACCAUAGAGUGAAUUGUAACCCAACUGGGAGAAUGGAAGCUGCUAGAAGUAUGCGUGACUAAUUCUACCCUUUGGGAUCGAGAGUAAUAUGCUCAAACUCUUAUGUAUUGAGGUGAUAUCUUAUAUAUUAAUAUUCAGUUAUUAAUUGAUUAUUGGUAUUGUUGUUUUACUUUUAAUUUUCCGUGACAAAUUGAGAAUGUUAAAUCUAAUCGGGAAGUAUUUUUAAGGUUCAGACCUAAAUAAACUUAACAUAUUUGAGUGCUAGGAAUAGACUUAAAAUGUUAAUUGCUAUUAAACGUCUAAACUUUUCUUAUAAUUAUGCGAGGGAUCGAUACUUAGGGGACAUUCUUAAGGAUUUUAUAUGCGAGGAAUCGAUAUAAAUGAUUUUUAUACGGGCAUCAAUUUUAAUCAAAGAACUUAAUAUUGACAUGCUAAUCAUCAAAAUACACGAAAGUGAGAUAGAUGAAACCUAAUCCCUAUUUUUCCAACUUGAAACAACCAAUUCUAUGUCUGUUUUCUUAUUGAUCAUAGCCAACACAACCACUUUCAACACAAUUUUAAUUGUUUUGUUCUAUAUUUAGUGAUUAUUGUACUUGAUAAUUCACUCUUACUUGUGGGAUCGAUAUCCGUCCUUAAGGACAAUUAUUACUUCUUACAAACGCGAUACACUUACCGUAUAGAGUCAUCACCAUCCUUAGAAGGGAUCGAUAUCCGUCCUUAAGAACAAUUAUUACUUCUUACAAACGCGAUGUACUUAUCGUAUAGAGUCAUCACCAUCCUUAGAAGAAGACAGUAAAACAGAUUUAUCAAGAUGCUUAAGGACAUCACCUUCUUUUGAAAAACGCCUAGAUGAACCAACAACAUCUUUAGACAAAGAUUUAGAAAGCGAAGAGGAAUUCUUUUGGAAAGAACUUUUGCACUGAAGUUGAUCUUCCUCCCGAAUGCAAAUUUGCACAAGAUCAUUAAGAUCAUGAUAUGUUAGUAGUUCAACACGACCUCUGAUAGCAAAACUUAAACCAUUCAGAAAACGAGCAAUUGUUAAACGUGGUUCUUCCCGAAUACCUGCACGUAAGAGAAGCAAUUCCAUCUUCUGGCGAUACUGAUCAACAGAUAACUCCUUCUGAUUCAACCUAUGUAACUGAUUAAUAAUUUCACGGUCAUAGAAAUAAGGAAGAUACCGUUUUCUCAAAGCAGAACGAAGUUCAUUCCAAAAAUUGAUGGGAGGAUAACGAUGAAUAAGAAGAUCACGUGAAUAAGCUGUCCACCAAUGCAUAACACCAUCGUGAAAGCUAAAAGUAGCUGAUACUACUCGACGUUCAUGAUCCACAUGGUGGCAGUAAAAAAUUUGUUCAAUUUUCAUCUCCCAAUUGAGGUAAUCAUAUGUGCUGGUCAUGCCAUAAAAAGAAGGCAGAGAAAUUUUAGGCUCCUGAACUGUAGAAUGGUGAUGAGCAGUCAGUUUAGGAGGUGGUUAGUAAAAAUCUUGAUUGUGAUGAUUUUUGUAUGCAUCAGUUUAGGGUUAUGUUGAUGAACACUAGCCUUAUGAAGAGAGGAACCCCUGUGGUGGCUGUGAGAUCGAUGUGAUUUCUGAUCUCGUGCAAGAACAAGUUGAUGAAGCAGAGUUUUAAUUUCUUGGAGUUGCAAAUCAUGAUUCUGAAGAGUUGCUGUGAUGUCAAUAGGAGAAGAUGAUUUUCCAUGGCCAUGCACACUAGAAGGAUGAGAUGGAUCACUCAUGAUGAAACAGAAAACAAACAAAACUGAAAAGAAACGUUAGAUGAACAGAAAAAGAAAAUGGAGAAGCAAUCAACUAAAGAAAAUUUACCAAAUGAGGGCACAAGAAUAAAAAAAGUAACCUUAGAAUUAAAACCAGCGUAAGUAAAAUAGACCGCUUGAUGAAGAGACAAUAGUUAUUAAGAGACCAAACUAUAAAUCAAAAAGGAAGGAACAAAAAUCAUGUAUGCAAAUGGUCCUAACACCCAAAGAAAGGGUGAAGCUAAAUGCACAAGUACCACACCUACUGUACCACAGAGACCUACCAAUAUAAGAAAAUAAAAUAAGAAUGAAAGAAGGCAAAGAACCAAAAAUGCUUGAGUAUGUUGCCUAACAUUGAACAAGAGAAUUGUCAAGAAUGCAGACAAGAAUUGUAUCUGAUGUAUAAAAGACAAUUAAACCAGGUACAAACGCAAACUAAACAAAAUUGCUUAAGACAGCAAAGAAAACAUCAACUACUCAAAGUUCUGUGAUACAGAAAUGGACAAAAUGAGAAACAACAAAUAAGGUAUAUAUGAUUUGAAACUUGCGAAAUGAAAUAAAUUGAAUUAUCUUGUUACCUCGUUAUCUCCGCUUGAGAACAAGUCGAAAGAGCCCUGUAAAACCACUGGAGAAUGGCAGCACUUCACUUCUUAUGGAACCCUUCAAACACCACAAAAAACAAACACGAGAAAGGAAACCAAGAAAUAAAGUAAGAAAAGCUUAAAGGCAACAAAAUAGCUAAACCAAAGGGAAUCACAGAGGCAAAACAGAAAAGAGUCCAACAAAGACAAUCAACAAAUUAAAACACUCAAGAAAAAGAAGCACAAGCAGAAAGGAACCUAAGAAGAGGUCUAUAACAGAUUUCAAAAACCAAAAUCUAGAUGAACAAACAAUGUUUGGUCCAGAAUUUAUACCAAAUGAUUUGCAACACAGUUAAUUCUGAAAUUUGGAUGAGAAAAACUACACUCAAAGAUGAAAAAAUUGGAACAAAUUUGAUGCCAAAAGACACAUUAAGCACAGAGAAAUAAAAUAUACAAAAUACGCACAACGUCAACAACAAUGAGUGAAAACGGAAAACUAUGUGGAACAGUGAUCACCAAACAUGUAAGAAUUAUGGUAAUGUUGAAACAACAAAUUUUAAGCUGAAAAUUUUAUUGUCUAUGAUGAACUCAAUGUACAAUAUGCCACAAAUUUGAAGGCAAACGGAGUGGCACUCACUGAGAAAUAAAUCAACUAAGCACAACCAGUGUGGAACACAAUAUAAACUUGAUUUAGAACAGGCAAGUAGAUUUGUACUAUUUAUGGUAAUUUUUUUUAUAACGAACUUCAAGUUGGAAAUUUAGCCAGUUCAAGAAAACAAAUCAAACCACAUAUGAGAAUAUUUUAAAGUCAAAACACUAAGGGAGUUCGGUGCAACAAAUUCAACAUCGAGAGUAAAACUAGUAACUAAACAAAUUGCUCACACAACAAAACGUCUUGACUUUUUCAAUUUAUAACUUUUUUUUAGGUGAAACUAGGACGUGCCUUUUUUUUUUUACUAAGAUAUGGAAACAUAACAAUGGUGUUACACACGAAAUUUCAGAAAAUAUGGAUUGAAAUUGUGAUCAAGAUAAAUUGCGCAAAUCCAAGAGCUAGUAUGAAAUUCUGGACAAAAACUCACACAUAGAAGAUACAACAAAAACAUAGAGUGAAAGAUGACAUGAAGAAGCAAGAAUGUAACGUGACAAGAGACAUGCAAGGUGUGGAAAACCUAAAACAACACCUAAGAGAAGACAAAACAAGAGUGCACACGCCAAACACCAAGAACACACAUGCAGAAAGACAAAAACAACAAGAAUUGACCAUAACCGUGAAAAACAGUGAUAGUGGACAAGAGAACGUGUUUGAUGAAAGAUUUAAAACAAAUGAACCCUUUAACACUAUAAGAAAAUCAUAAAAUAAAAACCAAUUUUUAGAGACCAAAAUAAUUAGUUGCAAUAGUAACUAAAUUAGUGACCNNNNNNNNNNNNNNNNNNNNNNNNNNNNNNNNNNNNNNNNNNNNNNNNNNNNNNNNNNNNNNNNNNNNNNNNNNNNNNNNNNNNNNNNNNNNNNNNNNNNNNNNNNNNNNNNNNNNNNNNNNNNNNNNNNNNNNNNNNNNNNNNNNNNNNNNNCUUCGGUCGGGCAGGUGGCUGGGUGAUGAACUGGGAUCCUUCUCUUCCUUCUGCUUAUCCUUCGGCACUCGGGACUUGGUUGUCGGGUGAACACCGGAUGGUGGGGGUACCUGCGAAGGCACUCCGACGCUCAAGUCAGUAAAGCGGGUGGUUAGUUCUCAGGUAGGUGAACAGUAAUAAUGACAUACCUUACUCCUUGAAAUGCGUGCUAUUUAUAUUAUUCUAGUGGGCCUACCUUGUUGGGCCCGUUUAUCGAGGUGGAUACCGCUUAGGGUUGCAUUACCUAAUUCUUGGUGAUGGAUUAGCUUCACUGAUCUUGGUUUGAGCGUUAAUUGUAAUGGGGUUCGGCCAUCGGCCAAAUUCUCAGGGUGAGGAUCGGCCAUCGGCCAAAUACCCGUGGCCUUCGGCCGUCUCAGUUGAGUCUUCAACGGUCUCGGUCUCUCGGCCAAGUCUACAAAAGGUCUCGGACUCUCGGUCUUUCGGCCAAGUCUCCAAGGGGUCUCAGCCUUCGGUCAUUCGGGCAGAUUGACUGGGCAUCGGGCAGCCAGGUGGGUCCCAGUCUCGCCCGGUACCGGUACACUACCAAAUUUAAAAACUAAAUAAUUGGUAGUUAAAAAUUUGGUUGUUAAUUAGAUACCAAUUUAGAAACUAUUUAAUAAUAAUAAAAACUAAUUUAGAAACCAAUUAUUUUUUUAGUUUCUAAAAUAGUCUCUAAAAAUUGGUUUCUAUUUCAUGAUUUUCUUGUAGUGUAAAUUGUUUAGAAGUGAGAUUAAACGGAGGAACAACCAAAGAAACACAAAAUGCACUGAUUAAAAAGAAGAAAACAACAAGAACAAAACAAAACUGAAAAGAAACAAGAAGUUGAGCAGCAAAAUUGAAAACAAAGUGUUUGAUGAAUGUGUGAACGAAAACAAAAGGCUGAAAACUGAAUUUAAUCGGUGAAAAACAAAUACAAACUGUCGAAAACAAGAUUCAAUCGGAGGAAACAAGAAAUAAACUAUGGAAACACAAGAAAAAUUGAUAAAACAGCCAAGAACAAGUAUGAACAGUGAAGAACAACACUUGACAGAGAAAAAAUAAAUUGGAAGAAUGUACUUAGCUUGGCUUGAGGAUCUUAGGUGCUCUGAUCCACCUGAUGUGAACCAUGGUUCAUACUUGUGAGGAUAGAAGAAAGAGAUGCAGCGGAUAAUGUGAUUAAGAAUGGAGGAAGCCGAAUAAAUGAUAAAUGUUGGCAAUGGUGAGUGUGUGAAGAGGAAGUUGGUGAGCCAACCUUCCAAGUGUCUAUUGGCCUUCUAGGCUUGUAAACAAGAGUCUUGAGAGAGAAUGAAUUUUGUAUUCAGAAUCUUCAUUCACAAUUAUAUCAAAUCUAAUUACACAAUGUAUAUGCAAUAUAUAUAAGCAAACAAGAUAGCAUGUGCCGCAACCCUGUUUUAUCACUUUUUCUUGUACUUGUUCUUGGCUAUUUUAUCACUUUUUCUUGUGUUUCCACCGUAACACUGUUUUCAGUUCUGCUUCUCAACCUCUUGUUUCUUUUCUGUUUUGUUUUAUUGUUGUUUUAUUCUUUUUAAUCGGUGCAUUAUGUGUUCCUCUGUUUAAUCUCACUUGUAAACAAUUUAAACGGUUCAUUUGCUUUGAAUCUUUCAUCAAACACAUUCUCUUGUCCAUGGUCACUGUUUUUCAUGGUUGCAGUCAAUCCUUGUUGUUUUUGUCUUUCUGCUUGUGUGUUCUUGUUGUUUGGCGUGUUCACUCUUAUUUUGUCUUCUCUUAGGUGCUGUUUUAGGUUUUCCAUACCUUGCAUAUGUCUCUUGUCACGUUACAUUCUUGCUUCUUCAUGUUAUCUUUCACUCUAUGUUGUUGAUGUAUCUUCUAUGUGUGAGUUUUUGUCCAGAAUUUCAUACUAGCUCUUGGAUUUGUGCAAUUUAUCUUGAUCACAGUUUGCAUCCAUAUUUUCUGAAAUUUCUUGUGUAACACCAUUGUUAUGUUACCAUAUCUUAGUCAAAAAGGCACGUCCUAGUUCACCUAAAAAAAAGUUAUAAAUUGAGAAAACCAGGACGUUUGCUGUGUGAGAAUUUUGUUCAGUACCAGUUUGAUCGGUGUUGAAUUUGUUGCACCUAACUCCCUUGGUGUUUUGACAUGAAAAUAUUCUCAUAUGUGUUUGACAUGUUUUCUUGAACUGGUUAAAUUUUUAGCUUCAAGUUCGUUAUAAAAAAAAUUACCAUAAAUAGUACAAAUCAACUUGCCUGUUCUAAAUCAGGUUUAUAUUGUGUUUCCACACUGAUUGUGCUUAGUUGAUUUAUUUCUCAGUGUGUGCCUCUCCGUUUGCCUUCAAAUUUGUCGCAUAUUGUACAUCACUUAGUUCAUCAUAGAUCAUCAAAAUUUCAGCUUAAAAAUUGUUGUUUCAACAUUACCAUAAUUGUUACAUGUUUGGUGAUCAGUAUUCCACAUAGUUUCCGUUUUCACUCAUUGUUGUUGACGCUGUGCGCAUUUUGUAUCUUUUAUUUCUCUGUGCUUACUGCGUCUUUUGGCAUCAAAUUUGUGCCAUUUUCUUCAUCUUUGUGUCUAGUUUUUCUCAUCCAAAUUUCAGAGAAUUAAUUGUGUUGCAAAUCAUUUUGUAUAAAUUUUGGACCAAACACUGCUUGUUCGUCUAGUUUUCUUUGCUGUCUUAAGCAAUUUUGUUUAGUUUGCGUUUGUACCUGCUUUAAUUUUCUUUUAAACAUCAGAUACAGUUCUUGUCUGCAUUCAUGACAAUUCUCUUGUUCAAUGUUAGGCAGCAUGCUCAUGCAUUUUUGGUUCUUUGCCUUCUUUCAUUCUUCUUUUAUUUUCUUAUAUUGGUAGGUCUCUAUGGUACAGUAGGUGUGGUAAUUGUGCAUUUAGCUUCACCCUUUCUUUGGGUUUCUAGAAGCAUUUGCAUACUUAAAUUUGAUUUUGUUGUUUUAUGUUCUACUAUGCUCUUUUGACACAGUUUAUACUUCCUUCAGGUGGUAAGUUGUUCUCUAUACAGGUUAUUUCCAUUUUUUUUCUUUACUUUACUUUUUUUCUGCUUCGUGUUUUUUUUUCUAAUGGAUUCUCUUUUUCAGGCAUUGGAUAAAUGGACAAGGGAUCUUGAUGAUAUUAAAUCCUUAUGUCAUAAACUUCUUUCUCAUUCUUCUCCACCAUGUUUAUCCGAAUCUUCUGUUAUGACUUCGAAACAUGUAUCUUUUGCUUAUUUGUUAAUUAGUUCCUCCACACCCUCUUCGCAUGACAUAUUAAUCACUUCUACUCCGUUGCUUAUGAAUACCUUAGUUUCUUCAUCCAUUCCUCUGUCUCCAUCUCAACGUACUAAUCUUUUCCAUGCUCGUUGUAAAGUCUUACUUUUCCUAUGGAUGUCGCACGUAUUCUUUUUGGACGUCCUUGUCAAUUUGAUAAUAAUGUGUUUCAUCACGACACUACUAAUACUCUACAUUUUCGCCACAAUGGCAGAAAACUUACAUUUUUUCCGCUUACACCUACCCAGGUAGCUUGUGAUCAGUCUACUCUCAAAUCAGUUUUUGUUCCUUCUACCCGUCCUUCUCCAUCCUCUUUGUCUUCCACUCUGGUACCUGUUAUCAACCAUUCUCCAGUCCUUCUUCUUCAUUGUAAGGAUGUUUCUUCAGCUCCUGCAUUGUCGUCUCUUCAUCAGGAUGGUCAACUACUUUUGGAUGAAUUUUCAAAUAUUUUUCCUUCUGAUCUUACUCAGGGCCUUCUGCCUUUACGUGGAAUUGAGCACCAGAUUGAUUUAAUUCCUGGAGCUACUUUUCCUAAUCGUCCUGCUUAUAGAGCUAAUCCUAUUGAGACCAAAGAAAUUGAACAUUAAGUAUCUGAUCUUUAAUGGUUGGAUUCAACAAAGCCUUAGCCCGUGUGUUGUUCUUGUUCUUUUGGUUCCUAAGAAAGAUGGUUCUUGGUGUAUGUGCACAGACUGUCGUGCUAUUAAUAACAUUACUGUUAAAUAUUGUCAUCAUAUUCCACGGUUGGAUGAUAUGUUGGAUGAAUUACAUGAAGUUGUAUGCUUUUCCAAAAUUGAUAUGCACAGUGAUUAUCAUCAAAUCCGUAUUAAAGUUGAUGAUGAGUGGAAAACUGCCUUUAAAACUAACUAAGUUUGGUUUGUAUGAAUGCCUUUUGGACUUACGAAUGCUCCUAGUACUUCUAUGCGCCUUAUGAAUCAUGUGUUGCGUGAUUGUAUUGGUCAUUUUGUGGUUGUUUAUUUUGCUGAUAUACUUGUUUAUAGUUCUACUCUGACUGAACAUAUUGCCUAUCUUCGACAUGUUUUCUCUUUCCUUAGGCAACAUUCACUUUUUGCUAACCUUAAAAAAUGUACAUUUUGUUAGGAUACACUUAUCUUUCUUGGUUUUCUUGUUGGGAAACAUGGGGUACAGGUUGAUCCUGCUAAGGUCCAAGCUAUCAAGGAUUGGCCGAUUCCAAAAAAUAUGUUAAUGAGGUUCGCAACUUUCAUGGUUUUAUACUGGGUUUUAUCGUCGCUUUGUGCCUAAUUUUUCAUCCAUUGCUGCUCCUCUUAAUGAUAUUGUCAAGAAGGAUCAUUGGGGUCCUAAACAGGAUUCUUCUUUUCAUACACUUCAAAAUUGUUUAACUCAAGCAUCGGUGUUAGCUCUUCCUGAUUUAACGUCUACAUUUGAAAUUGAGUGUGAUGCAUCUAACACGGGUAUUGGAGUUGUUCUUACUCAACAUGGUCAUCAUCUUAUUGCUUAUUUCAGUAAAAAAUUAAAAGGGCUACUCUGAAUUAUCCUACAUAUUAUCCUACAUAAAGAACUUUAUGUUCUCAUUCGUGCUCUUCAUACAUGGCAACAUUAUUUAGUUCCAAGGAGUUCAUUAUUCACACUGAUCAUGAAUCUUUAAAGUAUCUUCGCAGCCAGCAUACUCUCAAUAAACGUCAUGCCAAAUGGGUUGAAUUUUUGGAGCAAUUUCUAUAUAUGUCAUUAAACAUAAAAAGGGCUCCCAAAAUAUUGUUGUUGAUGGUCUAUCCUGUUGUCUUCGCUCCCAUUUUUUCCAAAUGUCUUCAGAAACCGUUUGAUGGAUUUUAUUUGUCUGGUGGUUAUCUUUUCUUUAAAGGACUUCUCUGUAUUCCCAGUGGUUCUAUUCGUUCCUUACUUAUCACUGAAAGUCAUCAAGGUGGAUUGAUGGACCAUCAUGGAAUUCAUAAGACUUUUGACAUCUUAAAACAAAAAUUUUGUUGGCCUCAUAUGCGAGGAGAUGUGCAGAAACAUUGUGCUAAGUGCAUUUCUUUCCUUCAGGCUAAAUCUAAACUUCAGCCUCAUGGUCUUUAUAUGCCUUUACCUGUUGCUCAUACACCCUGGACAGACAUUAGUAUGGAUUUCAUUCUUGGUUUACCUCUCACACCUCGUGGAUUUGAUUCUAUUUUUGUGGUGGUUGAUUGUUUCAGCAAAAUGAUACAUUUUAUUCUUUUUCAUAAGGUGGAUGAUGUUACUUAUAUUGCUAAACAUUUUUUUCGUGAGAUUAUACACUUACAUGGUUUACCUGCCACUUUAGUUUCUGAUUGUGAUGUUAAGUUUCUUAGUCAUUUUUGGAAAAUUUUGUGGUCCAAAUUGGGAACCAAAUUAGCUUUUUCUACCACAUGCCAUCCACAUUGUUACGUUGCCUUCUUCAUGAUCACAAAACCACUUGGGAUGAACUGCUUUCUCAUAUCGAGUUUACCUAUAAUAGGGUUCUGAAUAGUACUACUAAUUUGUCUCCUUUUCAGGUGGUUUAUGGUUUUAGUCCACGGACUCCUCUGAGUUUAUUAAAUCUUUUCAUUCUCAUGUUAAACAACAAAUUGAUGUUAAACAGCAGAAUCUGAAAUAUGCGGCCAACCGUAAUAAAGGUCGACGACACAUUGUGUUUAAUGUUGGUGAUUGGGUUUGGUUACAUUUAGCUCUGUUUUCCGUGUUUGAAGGGGAUUCAGGAUUUUCAUAGCAAGAGUGAUUGAGAGCCUGCCAGGAGAGUGGUUGAAGCUGUCAAUAACAAUGUUCAUUCGAGUUCAUCUGUGAGUGCUUUUUUUGCAGAGAAUGAAGCUAAUCAAAGGGUUGUGAGUUCUAGUAGUUUAUCGUCGAAUGAACAAACUUCUAAUUUGAAGCUGAGGAGGCAACAAAAGGGAGGAAGAAAAUUGGAGUUUGUGUCAAUAUUACUAUUAAAUAAUACGAAUACUAGAGUUAUUGAAGAAUUGAAUAAUCCUUUAAUAACUCUCUUUUAUAAUUAUCAGUUGUUUCUUUAUACAGUUUGGGUAUAUUUUUAAUAAUUGAAUAUCUUUUUAAUUAUUAGUUGUUUUUUUAUAGAGGUAAAUAACAUUUUUAUUUUGUCUUUGUGUGUUAUGAUUCUAAUAUUAUUUAAUUAUUGAUUAUUUCUCUUCUUAGUUAAACUUGUACUCCUUGUAUAUAUUCGGAUCAUUUGUUUUGAUUUCAAUAACAAAAAGGAAGAGAUUCAUUUUCAUAUCAUUUGUCCUCUUUUUACUUUUUUGUUCAUCGUUCUCUUUUAUUCAUUUCUGUUCUCGAGAUUUUGAUGGUUUUCGGCUCUUCAGGAUUUUAUGCUAUCGCAAGUGUUUAUUCUCUGAAAAAGCUACUGAAGAAGUAAUUUCAUUUAGACUUUGUUGGGCCAUCGUCAAUGUGUGCCAUAGUCAUGAGGUUGAUUCUUAUGAAAGUUUUAUUAACCAUGCUACCAUCCUUCGUGAAAACUCUGGCUUGCGUAGAAAUUUUAAAAUUGAACAAUUGGUUCUGACUAUAACUUGAUGAUUUUGAAAAUAUGAUCGAAUUCACCUUGCAGUGUAUAUUAGAGCGAGAUUAAUGGAUACCUUGUUUCUGCACAGUGUUCGGUUACGAAGUAUAUCGGCUUCUGUUAUGAAAACUCUUGGAUUAAGGUUGCUCCAAUUACUUUGGAUGAAGUUUUCGAGUAAACUAUGAUUAGCUUACAUAAAACUGGUUUUGCGAGAAUGGGUGGCGCCGCCAACACUUUCUGUAACAUUGAAAAAAAUUGUUCACGAUAUUCAUUCCAUUUAAAGGCCUUCGCUUUUCUCAACAACUUGAUAAUUGGUUUGGUUCUUUCAGAAAAAAUGUUACUAAAUUUUUUAAUAACCUGUUUUAAUAAAAAUGUCACCUUUCUUUAAAAUUGUUAUUAAAAGUGUUUAGUAAUAUUUGUUUUCAAUAAAGAUAACAUUAUAAAAAUAUUAUUAAAAAAAAAUGUAAUAUUUUGUAAUAUUUUAACAAAUUUUAUUAAAUUGUUUAAUAAAAAAAUGUACAAAUGUUACUAUUUUCUAAUCACUGUUCUAUAAUAUUGUAACCUACUUAUUAUUGUUGUUAACAAAAAAUUGCCACAACUCUUUCAACAAAAGAUACCAAAACAACAUAAUUAUCAGUUUUGCGGUCCUCAAUUUAUUUUUUACCCAAAUUCUUCUUUCUAAGUGAAAAUCAAAUGUUUUCAUCACAAUCUAAUACUUAUAAUCUAAUACUUAUGCAUAUAUUUUUUAUUUUUUUAUUAACAAUGAAUAAAUUAAAUUAAGAGAUACUUCAGAAAUAUUUUGGAUACUUCAGUUAUGCAUGUGUUAGAUUACCAAAUUCUUCUUUACUUUCAACUUACCUUAUUUAUCACGAAAUUAGGCAUUUCAGUGUUGAAUAAUCAGUUGUGACUUCUCAUAUGACUGGAACAUAUGCACCAAAAAUAAUUUCAUGUCUAUGUUAUUGUAAUCAAAAUGAAGCCUAUAAUUGGUUUGCGAUAGAAAGAGCGGCCACAAGCCUAUAAAUGAUUUACUUGUCCCUCUCAUAAAACAACAACUUUAUUCUUAAAUAUAAGAUAAAAAUUCUAUUACUUUCAUAAGACAUUUGAAGAUACUAACAACCAAUAUAUCUACUAUGGAGGUUUGCUGGUAACAAGCAAUUUAUCACUAUUGAUAUCUUGUCCUUAGCUCAACUGAACGUUUGAUUUUGGAUAACUUUUAAAGUCUCUUCAGCUUGCUUCUCAUUUUCAUAUUGGUGUCUCGACUCCUUGAUUUGUAUGCAAUCAAUUAAAAAUAAAUGAUUUUUUAUAAGUUGGUCAGGUGUAUGCUUUGCGGUUUGUGAGGGGAGUUUGUCUCUGUUAGAUGGGUUGAAUGACAAAUGUUAAAAAUGUAUAAGAGUCUGACCACUCCUGAAGUGGUCUAUAUUUAUUUUUUUUCUUGAUAAAAAAACAAACAAUAUAUCAAAUAUUCUCCUUCCCAUUAAGCUCCCAAAGCAAAACAAGUGUAGAGCAAUAUGCAAGAAGAAUGAUAUUGUUGUCAUCAAAUAUACAAUGAACAUACAAAAUAUAGUGUGAUAAAAAGUAUAAAAAAUUUGAUUACCUAAUUAUCAAUUGAAAUUUGUCUGCUAUUUAUUGAUCUAUAUUCAAGUUAGUCCUAUCAAAAUGAAUUUUUGUUUUACAUUCCAUUCUUCCUAUUUGUUUCCUUUGUACAUCACUAAUUUCUCUACUUGUAUUACAUAGAGGUUAUUGACAAACAAUUCAAACAAUGAAACAAAACAAAGGAAACAAAAUACUAUUAUAGAAUCAACAAUAAACAAAGAAUUCUUAUAAAUGAAAACUAUGAUCUUAUAAUAAAUUACACCAACAGUUUUUUAUUUACUGAUGUAUUGAAAUAAGGUUUUUUUUUUCUUAUUCAAAUGUCAAUCAAUAUUAAAUUACUUAAAAUUGAAAAAAAAAAGACUUAGACUUACUUCAUUAGUUCAUAGACUUCCACACCCUAACAACCUUUUUAUUAAUUCAUUUUUUAAAAUAAAGGUUAAUUAAUAAAUCACUUUAAUACUUAAAAUUUAUCAAUUUCUUGAAUUUCACCUACUCAUUCAAAAUUCUUUGAAUGAACUUCUUUUCUUUAUAAUUAUUUUCAAAUAUAUCCUUGUAAUAAUGAUCAUUAUUAGUAAUAAAUCAAAAGAAUAAAAUUAGAAACAUAGUUUAGAGAAGUAAGAUUUACAAGAAGAGUUCAAAGGUAGUGGAUGGAUAUUUGAGUGUCUUAAGUUCUUUUCAAGUGUGACAACUCCAACAUUAAGGUCUUUAAGUUAGCAUAUUAUUUAGUGAUUGUAAUAGGAAAUUUGAUUGAGUUUUACUCAAGAUUAAUGGUUAGAGAUUCAAACGCCAAAUUAUAUUACAUGAGUAGUGAAUGUAAACUUCAUUUUAUAAGUCAAUUUUGUGAUGUUGAACUAGACAUUAAUAAACUUUUUAAGAUGACAUCAGACUUUAUUCUAAAGAAACUUUAUUCUAAUGAGAUAUGUAGAACUGCGUUUGAAAUGCUCAAUCUUUUAUGCGACGGAAUAUAUUAAAGAUUUCACAAUAAUUAGAAAUAAGAACAAAUUAAUAUAUAUAUAUAUGAAUAAGUACAAAUUUCACCUUACAACAACAAACAACAGUAAAAUCUUCUUUAAGUUGUCAUUAUAGUAACCAUUUGAAGUUCGAAGAUACUCAAGAAAUCAUAUACAUCUCAUCAACCUCCUUUCUUCUUUAAUUUAAUUAAAUUACAAUAUAAAUAUUUUUUUAAAGUUUAUUAUUUGGUUAUUACUAGUUUUCGUUAUGUGAAGAAGGAUCAUGGAUGUCUACAAUAUAGUGACAUUUAUAUUACUAAGAAAAUUAUAGAACCGCUUUUUAAAAUAAAAUAUUAUAUUAUAAUAAAAUACUAAUUUACUUAAGUGUGAAAUGAUGGUUUAAAAUAUCAUUUUCACAAUGUCGUCUCAUUUCAGUAACCAAUGAUAAUGAAUGUAUUCAUAUAAUAUAACAACAUCUAAAGGAGCAGUAAAAAAUACUUUGGAUAAAAGUAAUUAUUAUCUUGAUUUUAUUCCUGACUUACAUAGCACUUUAUCAUAAAUUCUGUGGUUUACAACACACCCAGAAUACUUAUUCACUAAACUUCAACAGGAAGAAAAAAAAAGAGAAACAAGCAACAAAUUACACAAUCAUUGUCAUUCACGUUGGUAACAGAAAAUUUAUGGAACAUAAACGACAAUGGGGCUCCUUACCUGAUGAGUGCCAUCAUCCCAAGUCAAAGAAAAAGAAUCCAAGUUUGCAUUAAUGGUUCCUUGAAUCCUAACGGUGAAGGACAGGCUCUGACCCACAGAUGUGAAGGUCAAAACAUUUGGCACUACUUGGAUGUUUAAAGAAGAUGGAUAUCCAGAUAUUAUUGCCCUAUAUGUGGAUCUAGCUGAUCCAACAUUAGUGACAGUUCUACCGUAAGUGACAUCGUUGUAACUUGAGCGAGCGGUUGCUAGAGCAAAUGAUGGGAGGUUAAGGUUGAAAACAGAUCCUCUAUUUGCUGAUGUACAAGUAUUCUUAUCUCCCGUAAUUCUUCGCAACAAUACUGUACUAUAACCUUGUCCACACAGAAAAUUAAUAUAAUCAUUCGGACCAAGAUCAUAAACUAGUCCAGGAUUUACUGCCUUCAAAGGAUUGAUUUGCCCCGCACC
rnacentral:lncRNA from 1 species